rnacentral:lncRNA from 1 species
GGUCAGGACAGAUGCCCUUGGCCACAAUUGGACCCCCACUAUACACAUGCUGCUCGAUACACUUCUAAGUUUGUCCUUAGUUUAUUAUGUGUUGACAUUUGUAAUACCUUAGCCUCAGGGAAAGAAUCUUCUUUCCUUCCAGUGCCAAUACAUUUGGGAUCCAGAAGAAUGUUCCCUCCCUUGCGCUCUGACUUUCCUGGGUGUGAGUGUUGGGACCCUCCUUCUUGUAUUUGCCCAUUGCUUGUGGCGGCAUCUAAGCGAAGCCCUUAGUUCAGUAACUAUAGAUCCCCCCCUCCCCCGAUACCCAGUCAGAUCUCAGGAGGGCUCCGUUUUGAUGAGGAUGAGGAGGAUGACAAGAGUGAGGAUGAUGAUGAGGAAGAGGAGGAGGAGGAAGAGGAGGAGGAUAAACUACUAUUCUUUGAGAAUUUAACAUGUGCCAAGCACAGUGCUCCAUGCUUUACAUACUUUAUAUCAUUUCUGGGAGGUGGACUCUAGCACAUCAUUUCAAAGUUGAUCUUGUGGAUAGUAGAUGGAUGUCCAAUGGGCGAAGGACUGGUUUGUGGUACAAAUAUUUGGAGGCUGCGGAGGCCUCCUGUGGAAGCAGGACAGGGGGAUGAUUUACACAGAAGAGAACUCUCUGAAGGAAUCCCUUAUUUUCUUAGUCCCUUUGCAUUUAUUUAACUAGUUUUUAUGAUCACUUCAGUAUUCAGCCUCCCUUGUUUGCAACACCGUGGAAAUAGGAGGCACAGUCCCUGCCUACAAGGCACCUGUGAUCUAGUAGGUGGAGAAGAGUGGAACGUGAAAAUACCGCCACGUGGUACAGAUUUGGGUUUGUCCUCUCGUCUCCUUUCGCUAGCCUUUAUGGGCCUAAUCUUCUUUUGAAAAACUAAAUGAUGGGACUAGAUAAGAAGUAGGUAAACUUUUUCUAUAAAGGGCCAGAUGUAAGUCUUUUAGUCUUUUGGGGCCCUACAGUCUUUGUCUGACUACUCCAUGCUGCUGUUGUAGCGUGAAAGCAGCCAUAGACCAUAUGUAACAAAUAGGCAUGGUAAAUCAAAAUUUAUAUAUAAAAACACUUGUAAAUAAAAAUCAGGUGGGCUGGAUUUAGCCCAUGGCUGACCUUGGACCAGCUGAUGGCUCUAGGACCUUUCUGACCAGAAAGUGUUAUAGUUUCUUCACCUUCCACAGUGAUUUCAGCCUUGGAGUAUGGAGGCAUUUUUUGGUUUUCCUCUGUUGAGGGAGAGUGUAUAAAAAAUGGCAAUAGAAUUUGUCCUGGAGAGGCACCAGGAGGGAUUCCCAGCAAUGUUCUGAUUGAAAUCGCAAUGGGAAGAAGCCAUUAAAAAAGGUGGGGAGAAAGGUCCCAUUCAUCAGAGAUGGGUACUGCUGUUUUCAUUGGGGAUCUGGCUAUUAGCUCAGCAGGAAGACAAGAUGGGGUAGGCUGGAAACAUGGCUUUUCCAGAGGCAGAAUGCUAGAGAAUUCUUUUUAGAACAAAAUUUUCAUUUAAUUCCUUAUAUAAGUCUUAGAAUCCAAGGCGUAGUCAAUAGGGAAAUGUUGCUAGUGUUGGGAAACACAUCUAGCAUAACAAUCUAACAAUCUCAAUGAUCUAACAGCAUCUAAACGUCAAUUUCACUUUUGUUGAAAAUACACAUAUAUUUCUAUUCGAAAACUGUCUCAUUUAGUUUUGCUAUCUAUUUGAAUAGGUUUUUCAAGACCUUUAAACAACUACACAGUCAUGGGACGCUUGCUGUUGCAUGUAACAAAAAUAUCUUGUUUGGGAGUUCCAGUUGUGGCUCCGCAGUAAUGAACCGACUGGCAUCCAUGAGGAUGAGGGUUCGAUCCCUGGCCUCCAUCAGUGGGUUAAGGAUGGGCAUUGCCAUGAACUGUGGUGUAGGUCGCAGAUGCGGCUGAGAUCCCAAUUGCUGAGGCUGUGGCGUAGGCCAGCAGCUGCAGCUCUGAUUCGACUCCUAGCCUGGGAACCUCCAUAUGCCAUAGGUUCAGCCCUAAAAAGACAAAAACAAAAACAAAACAAAACCCCCCAAACCCCCACCUUCUGCAAAUUGACUUAAAAACCAGAACAUAUGGGUUUAGGAUACAACAUAAUCCAGAGGAAUGCUGGCUUCUUCUGGGGAGAGGUCUGAUUCAAAAUAUCAAAUGACAUCAUUAGCUUCUUUUUUUUUUUUUUUUUCAUUUCUCCCAUCCUUGUCUAUCAGCCUUAUCUUUAGGCAAACUCCUUCCUAAGUAGUGGGGUGCUAUUCCAAGACUCUCUUGUUUAUACGACCAAACAGCAAAGGAACAAGAGCUUCUUUUUUUUUUGAAGGCUGUGGCACAGUCUCCUCAUGUCUCUUUGACCCUGAUUGGCCUAUGUGCCCAUUUCUAAACCAAUUUCUGUAGCCUCAGCCAUUUAGGGCUCACUACACAGUUAAGAAUGGUAAAGGGGAGGCUCCCCAGAGGAGAGCCGGAUUACAUGUAUUGCAAAGAGGUGGAUGGUUUCUGAAUAACCAACUGCAGAUAUCCAGUGCAAUGAUAAAUUUCAGAACACUUUCAUGGAAGCGGUCUCAUUUGAUUUUACAACAACAUUAUGAGAGUGUGUUAGCUAUUACUAUUUCCGUUUUCAGAGAACACAAGGGCUUAAGUCACAUGACUUAUUCAAAUUCACACAGUUGAUGAAAGGGCUUGCAUUAACUUUCUUCCCCCCCCCACCACUAGACAGCUAUUACUUUUGUCUUGGACUAGAUGCCUAAUAAUGUCAUCUAAAAUAGAAUUAGCAUUUUAGGGCACUGUAUCGCAGCAGCUUAUACUGAUUUUAUAGCGAAGUAAGAGCCUGAUUUUUCACAUGAUUGCUGGUAAAAUGUACCUAAAAUGGCUUUUUGAACCUAAGUGCAGGGCCGCCUUUAUUCCUGUGAUACCUCAUAUUAAAUUUCCCCCAUUGCUCCGGCCUGGCAAGAAUUUUUGAGUCAUGUGGAAUCCAAAUUAACUCUCCUUCCACCUAUUUUUUUUGAAAAUUUUUUUUAUUGUUAUUUCUCCAAUACAUUUUUUUUUCUACUGUACAGCAUGGAGACCCAGUUACACAUACAUGUAUACCCCUCCCAGCUUUGUGCCGACUUCAAGUUUAAUAAAUAUACUUUUUUUUUUUUUGUCUUUUGUAUUUUUAGGGCCACGCCUGUAGCACAUGGAGGCUCCCAGGCUAGGGGUCGAAUUGGACCUGUAGCUGCUGGUCUAUGCCACAUCCACAGUAACUCGGGAUCCAAGCUGCGUCUGAGACCUACACACAGCUCAUGGCAAUGCCAGAUCCUUAAUCCACUGAGAAAGGCCAGGGAUCGAACCUGUGUCCUCAAGGAUAUUAGUUGGGUUCAUUAACCACUGACCACAAUGAGAACUCCACAAAUAUACAAUUCUAAUUCACCUUUUAAGAAACUGCUAAAGGGUUGAACAAUAGCAUAUAUAUAUAUAUAAUAUUGAUUAAUUACUGAUUUUAAUCUAGAAUUAGAUCUCUAGUGAUACAGCACUGGACUCUACCUUUGGGUUUGUUCAGUAUUUUUAUUAUUUAUUAUUUUAUUUAUUUUUUUGCUUUCUAGGGCCUCACCCAGGGCAUAUGGACAUUUCCAGGCUAGGGGUCCAAUUGGAGCUGUAGCCGACAGCCUACACCACAGCUCAUGGCAACGCCGGAUCCCUGAUCCACUGAAUGAGGCCAGGGAUUGAACCAGCCUCCUCAUGGAUACUAGUCAGAUUUGUUUCCACUGAGCCACCACGGGAACACCUGUUUAGUAUUUUUAUAACUGAUACGGAUGGAGUCUUAGCUGAUAGGUUAAAAAUGUAAAUCCCCUCACAUAUGGCAUAUAUCUUCGCAUUGGUCCUCUCGUUCCUAUUUCUGAUUUGAGCAACAUUUUGAUUGAGGACAUCACCGCUUGAAAUGAAAAGCCGAAUUAUUGGCCUGGAGUCUGUGGUAACUGCGAUGUUGUGACUCUCCUAUUAUUUAUCCUGGAUAGAGUCAGGAAAAUUAUGGCCAUCCCCUUCAUGUAAAAUUUCUGCCAUGAAAAUAAGAUAAUUGCAAUGGUGAUCAAGCAUCAGAACCUGUGAAAAUCUGGGAAUAAAGGCAACAGAACAGAUUCUCCCAGCGACUUGUUUCUUUUUUUUUCAGAUGAGAAAAUUGAGAUUCUAUAAUUCACAUGUACUUAAAUGUAAGUGAUAACAAGGAUUUGGCCGGAAAUAUUAUCUAAGACUAAGCUUCCCAGGCAGGAGUGGUGGUGGGUGGGUUGCAGAGUCAUCUGGGGGUGGGGAUGGAUGGCAGUGAGGCUUCUACACAAACCCACCCCCAUCUUAGAGCUCCCCUUCUUCCUCCUAAGCAGCCCAGGGAAAUUCCUGGGCCAGGGAUGAAUCUGAGCCACAGCUGCAGCAACGCUGGAUUCUUAACCCACUGCCGGGCGGCAAUUCAAACAGGCGCCUCCACAGGGACAAGCUGGAUCACUAACAGCACUGGUCACUGCGGGAACUCCCCAUCUUAUAGCUUUGAUUUGAGGUUAGUUCAAAGCCCUUUCAAGGAGGGUGAGAGAUUUUUAUGAAUAUUAAAAUCAAGUGUUAUUAACCUUUAAAAAGAUUGCGAAACAAAGCUGCACAGGUUAAUUUCUCUAAAAAAGACUCCGUUUCGAAUUGGUUUCAGCCCUGGAGCGGGAGGGUUGUGUCUUUAGCCCCCCUCAGAAAGGUGUGCGAAGGGGACGAAGUCACUUUGCCCGCUGAGACCAAUGCCACCGGCAAAAGCUUUGCAGCCCACCCUGCUCCGCCCCAGGUGAGGGCCAUCUUCUCCCCACCAACCACCCGAACCCAGCUGUUCCUGCUCUGCCUUGCUUCUCCGUCUCCUCUCCCCCACCCUUCGAUCUUGUAGAAACGCCAUCCUCAUGCAGGUAUUUUUCCCAGCGAAAUUUUUCUUUCUAACGCAUGGAUACGUUUCACAGAAGAUGAACGAACGCGAGUCUCUCCCGUUUGCGUGAAGUGAUUAGCCGUGCGUGCUGGAAAAAACCGGUUCUAUUUAAAAGGAGAAAUAUUUAGAGAGCAGACGUCCUUCGCCGCUUCCUUCUCCAACUGUUCUCAGAAAGCAAGAAAACAGCAGCGGUGCUCGCCUCUGGUUCAGGGCUGUGACCCGCCCUCCUCCCCCACCACGCUCCUUCCUUAGCUACAAGAACAGGUUAUCAAGGCGAUAAUAAGCGAGAAAAUGUUCCAGCCUUGUCUUAAGCCUCAGCCACAUCGCACUGCUUAAAAGAGGUUAAAUGCUUCUGUGAACCCGUGUUUUCCACCCCCGGCCAGGCCGCCCUAAGCCAGGCUGAUCCGGCCUGCCUCGCCCCUGCUCCGCAAGAGACUCGCGGUGCGGGAUGAUUGAGGUGGCCUCAGCCUCCCGGCAGCCGCUGACUGGCACUUGGAAAUUCAAUCCUCUCAAGGUAAUUCCUCUACUUAUGAAAAAACUUCUAGCAGUGAACUCUGACUCUGAUGCCUCCCACGCCCAGCAGGAGAGAGGCCAGGCCCGGGGUUGGGGCCGGGGCCCGGUGUUAUCCAAGCCGUUUUCCAAGGAAGACUUUUGUGGCGUCAUUAGUAGAUUUUUAGCUAUUUCUAGAACAAUAGAAAUUGUAAUCUUUUUCUUCUGAGGUCUUCUGGAUCCCAAAUGACCUGGGGCCUGUCUGGCCACCUGUAGGCUACAGGUUGGCCUGGCUUCACCCUCACAGAGAGUAACACUGUGCUUUUGUUUCCUCUUGGCUGGAGCAUCCCUCACUGCUUAGAGAGGCACUUUGGUGCCAAGGUUGGAGGCCAAACUGAUGGUAAGAGGAGAUGUGGAGUUGCCAUUUCCCUAUGGUCCAAGCUGAUGGAGGUAGACAUCCUUGGCAAAGCCAGAUGUAGUACCAGGUUUGGAGACAUUCCUCUCAUUGCAGGGAAGCUGUCCAGAGAUUCUGAAAUAACCAGCUGCUGUUAAGAUUUUUUUGGGAUCAUUAUUUUCAAGAAGUAACAAUUUCCCCUUCUUUUCCAUCCUCACCCCAAAGUUGCUCCUGUCCCCAAUAGCAGGAAGUCCCCGGUGAUGGUUGCAGAUGCUACUGCUGAGACAGUCCUCUGCCUCCUCAAGGGGACAGCUUUGUUGUGGGAGGAUUUGAAUAUCCUUGCUUCUCUCCUAAAGCUUCAGGAUGUGUUUUGGCAAGUGCAAAAUCCAAUAGUCAUUGAACCCUUGAUAAUCUUUUAUGCCCUGUAGAAGUAUGUUUUUAUUCAUCCGUUUCUUCAGGAGGUAAGAAAUAAAGCUGUUCCAUCCUAGGCAUAAAUUAGCAUUUCUAACAAUGCAGUGCAAAAAAUGUAAUUUAAAUAGAACUGAUUAGAAUUUUGAUAGGGCACCUAGGAACCUCUAAACAAAUGCUGAUCAGGUAAUGAGUGGAACAAGUCAUUUAUUUUUUAGUGGUUCAGCUAUCUAUUCAGUGAUUGGGUCACAGUUUCCCAAACAUAUACGGUGACUGUUCAUUAAUUAUUCACUUCGCGCUCAGUAAUUGUCCAAUUUAACUACAAACUGUGAGCUUAUACGCAAAGCCACAGAAGACAGUAGAGGGAAAAAGUAACCAUCUAGAUAAAAGUAUAUUUUCUUUUUGUAAUAACACUUGCUAAUUCAAGGACUCAGAGGGAGAGGAGCUAUUGUUAGACUUUGGCCUUGGUCUUGUCUAUAUGCGUGGACUAAAUUGCUCACCAUUUGUUAAGCAGGGACAUUUAAGCUCCAGAGUGCCAAGCUUUGCAAAUGAGGCUGUGCAAGUUGGCCUUCAGCCUGUCUUUGUAGGUAGAGCCUCACCUUUGAGUCAGCAAGCAGUGCGGCGUAAGUCGUGCAGAUCAGCUUCAGCAUGCUAUCAACCGAAUCACAUGCUUUUCUCCAGGUGCCUCAUCUUGGAAAAUGUUCUGAAUUAAUCUGAAAGGUUCAUUUGCAGGGUUUUUCUCCAUUGAUAUUUCAGAGGUUUUUCUUUUAUCCAGAAGAUGAAAAUGUUUCCAUCUUAGUUCAUGUGGAGGUCAGCUCACAUCCAGGAAACUUUGGCUCCUUGGCUUCCCAGUGUAUCAUUAAAUUCCAUGUUCUGUUUUAUUUACUGAUGAUCUUCACUGGAAAUAAAACAAGUUUAUCAGCCCUCUUGUCUUGUUAGAAUCUUGGUAAUAGUAGGAUGUCAUUUUCGAGAAUGCAGAUGAGAAAUUAAAUCCCAAGAAAGAUAAUGUUACACAAUUCCUGCCCCUACCCCCCCCCCACCAGAAAUGAAGCAUGGUCUCAAGGGAAGAAUCAUCCGUUUGUUAUAGUUUUAAUGUUGCCUCCCUUGCCCUGGGUAUUUUGUGGGUGAAGAACUUCUAAGGAUAAGACCCUACAAAGCAGAGCAUGCUGUGAAUGAGCACCUGUGUUCUGGGCAGGUGUGAGGACAGGCCUGGGGGCUCCUGUGGUCUGGCGGGCUAAUGGUCGGCUCAGCAUUUUGUGUGAGUGGCAACUUGUCUUUCUGCAAAGAGAGUGUCUUCAUUCUUUGGGUCAUGACCAGGUACAAAGCAAGCAUCUAAGGCAGAACCCAGCAGAAGCAUCUACACUGCUCAUCUUUACUGAAUGAAUAAAGCCAGGGACUAGGUCAGGCCCACCUGCUGGCAGUCGGGUGACAAGCAUGUGUAAAGAAUUUCCAUCAUGUAUGAAAACAACAGCAAAUAGCCCUGUUGGGACAGAAUCUUCGUUGCCCAAACUUACUACCCAUGGGGAAGAAGAAGUUAAAGUUCGUCAUUGCUGGAAGAAUUUAUAGCAGCCUGGCUCUAUGUUUGCAAAAUUCUAUGUUUCUUUGAAUAGGUGUCAGGCCAUUUUACAGCUGAGUAAACUAAGGCAAGGAGCGGUGAAGGGCUUUGCCAUACUCACAGAAUAAUUCUGAGGCCUGGGAGAAGUGAGAAGCAAUGUUCCUGUCGUGGCUCAGUAGUUAAUGAAUCAGACUAGGAACCAUGAGGUUGCGGGUUCGAUCCCUGGCCUUGCUCAGUGGGUUAAGGAUCCAGCAUUCCCGUGAGCUGUGGUGUAGGUCACAGACAUGGCUUGGAUCCCGUGUUGUUGUGUCUCUGGCAUAGGCUGUUGGCCACAGCUCUGAUUAGACCCCUAGCCUGGGAACCUCCAUAUGCCAUGGGUGU